rnacentral:rRNA from 1 species
UACGAAGGGGGCUAGCGUUGCUCGGAAUUACUGGGCGUAAAGGGCGCGUAGGCGGAUAUCUAAGUUGGGUGUGAAAUCCCGGGGCUCAACCUCGGAAUUGCCUUCAAAACUGGAUAUCUUGAGUUCGGGAGAGGUGAGUGGAACUCCGAGUGUAGAGGUGAAAUUCGUAGAUAUUCGGAAGAACACCAGUGGCGAAGGCGACUCACUGGCCCGAUACUGACGCUGAGGCGCGAAAGCGUGGGGAGCAAACAGG